rnacentral:rRNA from 1 species
UACGUAGGGCGCAAGCGUUAUCCGGAAUUAUUGGGCGUAAAGAGCUCAUAGGCGGUUUGUCGCGUCUGCCGUGAAAGUCCGGGGCUCAACUCCGGAUCUGCGGUGGGUACGGGCAGACUAGAGUGAUGUAGGGGAGACUGGAAUUCCUGGUGUAGCGGUGAAAUGCGCAGAUAUCAGGAGGAACACCGAUGGCGAAGGCAGGUCUCUGGGCCACUACUGACGCUGAGGAGCGAAAGCGUGGGGAGCGAACAGG